GCAGUCAAACCAUGCUGAAAACACUGGUCCACAUUUGAUCAACAAAGUUAAGUGGUGUUGAGCCCUGACAGUACUUAGAUUGGAGUCCACUUGGGAACACUGGGUACUGUAG